GAUGAACGCUGGCGGCGUGCUUAACACAUGCAAGUCGAACGAUGAAGCCCAGCUUGCUGGGUGGAUUAGUGGCGAACGGGUGAGUAACACGUGAGUAACCUGCCCUUAACUCUGGGAUAAGCCUGGGAAACUGGGUCUAAUACCGGAUAGGAGCGUCCACCGCAUGGUGGGUGUUGGAAAGAUUUAUCGGUUUUGGAUGGACUCGCGGCCUAUCAGCUUGUUGGUGAGGUAAUGGCUCACCAAGGCGACGACGGGUAGCCGGCCUGAGAGGGUGACCGGCCACCAUGGGACUAAGACACGGCCCAGACUCCUAUGGGGGGCAGCAGUGGGGAAUAUUGCACAAUGAGCGAAAGCGUGAUGCAACGACGCCGGGUGAGGGAUGACGGCCUUCGGGUUGUAAACCGCUGUAAGUAGGGAAGAAGCGAUAGUGACGGUACCUGCAGAAGAAGCACCGGCUAACUACGUG
rnacentral:rRNA from 1 species